rnacentral:rRNA from 1 species
UGGGGAAUUUUGGACAAUGGGCGAAAGCCUGAUCCAGCAAUGCCGCGUGAGUGAAGAAGGCCUUCGGGUUGUAAAGCUCUUUUGUCAGGGGAGAAACGGUGAGAGCUAAUAUCUUUUGCUAAUGACGGUACCUGAAGAAUAAGCACCGGCUAACUACGUGCCAGCAGCUGCGGUAAUACGUAGGGUGCAAGCGUUAAUCGGAAUUACUGGGCGUAAAGCGUGCGCAGGCGGUUUUGUAAGUCUGAUGUGAAAUCCCCGGGCUCAACCUGGGAAUUGCAUUGGAGACUGCAAGGCUAGAAUCUGGCAGAGGGGGGUAGAAUUCCACGUGUAGCAGUGAAGUGCGUAGAUAUGUGGAGGAACACCGAUGGCGAAGGCAGCCCCCUGGGUCAAGAUUGACGCUCAUGCACGAAAGCGUGGGGAGCAAACAGGAUUAGAUACCCUGGUAGUCCACGCCCUAAACGAUGUCUACUAGUUGUCGGGUCUUAAUUGACUUGGUAACGCAGCUAACGCGUGAAGUAGACCGCCUGGGGAGUACGGUCGCAAGAUUAAAACUUAAAUGAAUUGNCGGGGUCAUAGCUGUUUCCUG